rnacentral:rRNA from 1 species
GAUGAACGCUGGCGGCGUGCCUAAUACAUGCAAGUCGAGCGAACAGACGAGGAGCUUGCUCCUCUGACGUUAGCGGCGGACGGGUGAGUAACACGUGGAUAACCUACCUAUAAGACUGGGAUAACUUCGGGAAACCGGAGCUAAUACCGGAUAAUAUAUUGAACCGCAUGGUUCAAUAGUGAAAGACGGUUUUGCUGUCACUUAUAGAUGGAUCCGCGCCGCAUUAGCUAGUUGGUAAGGUAACGGCUUACCAAGGCAACGAUGCGUAGCCGACCUGAGAGGGUGAUCGCCCACACGGGAACUGAGACACGGUCCAGACUCCUACGGGAGGCAGCAGUAGGGAAUCUUACGCAAUGGGCGAAAGCCUGACGGAGCAACGCCGCGUGAGUGAUGAAGGUCUUCGGAUCGUAAAACUCUGUUAUUAGGGAAGAACAAAUGUGUAAGUAACUAUGCACGUCUUGACGGUACCUAAUCAGAAAGCCACGGCUAACUACGUG